rnacentral:tRNA from 1 species
GCGCCCAUAGCUCAGCUGGAUAGAGCAACGGACUUCUAAUCCGUUGGCCGGGGGUUCGAAUCCUCCUGGGCGCG